UGAAAAUAAUGAAACUUUAUGGUGCAGAAAGUGGCUUUUUCAUUACAGUUUCUGGGUGCUGGGCAACGGUAGAUCACUAUGGCUUCUGUACCGUGAAAUGAAGCUUAUGAUGAAAUACUGAUGCUUGGCCAAUCUCACCCACGAGAUAUAAUAAGAACUGAUGCAGAUACAGGCAACUUACCCAACUUCGAAAGUAGUGCGCUGGAUUCGCCUAAAGAUGCGCUAAACAACGCAUCAAUUAGUUUGACAGAUAAAACUUUGGAAGAAAGUUCGGUUCGGAAGUCCCGACAGCAAAGCGAGGUAAAAUGAGUGAAAAUGAAGUUUAAACUGAUUUAAAAUUAAAUUGAAA